rnacentral:misc_RNA from 1 species
UCCGGCUUAUCACCGGCAGUCGCCUUAGAGUGCCCAACUAAAUGAUGGCAACUAAGGCCGAGGGUUGCGCUCGUUGCGGGACUUAACCCAACAUCUCACGACACGAGCUGACGACAGCCAUGCAGCACCUGUGUUAGCGUUCCCUUUCGGGCACCCUCACAUCUCUUCGAGGUUCGCUACAAGUCAAGGGUAGGUAAGGUUUUUCGCGUUGCAUCGAAUUAAUCCACAUAAUCCACCGCUUGUGCGGGUCCCCGUCAAUUCCUUUGAGUUUUAAUCUUGCGACCGUACUCCCCAGGCGGUCAACUUCACGCGUUAGCUUCGUCACCGAAGGGGAACCCCCCAGCGACAAACACACAUCGUUUACGGCGUGGACUAC